CCUACGGGGUGCUGCAGUGGGGGAUAUUGCACAAUGGGGGAAACCCUGAUGCAGCGACGCCGCGUGGGUGAAGAAGCGCCUCGGCGCGUACAGCCCUGUCAGCAGGGAAGAAAAUGACGGUACCUGAAGAAGAAGCCCCGGCUAACUACGUGCCAGCAGCCUCGGUAAUACGUAGGGGGCAAGCGUUAUCCGGAUUUACUGGGUGUAAAGGGGGCGCAGACGGCGAUGCAAGCCAGGAGUGAAAGCCCGGGGCCCAACCCCGGGACUGCUCUUGGAACUGCGUGGCUAGAGUGCAGGAGGGGCAGGCGGAAUUCCUGGUGUAGCGGUGAAAUGCGUAGAUAUCAGGAGGAACACCGGUGGCGAAGGCGGCCUGCUGGACUGCAACUGACGUUGAGGCCCGAAAGCGUGGGGAGCAAACAGGAUUAGAUACCCCAGUAGUC
rnacentral:rRNA from 1 species